rnacentral:rRNA from 1 species
UACGGAGGGAGCAAGCGUUAUUCGGAAUUAUUGGGCGAAAAGGGCGUGUAGGCGGCCAGAUAAGUCAGAGGUGAAAGCCCGGGUCUCAACCCCGGAAGUGCCUUUGAACCUAUUUGGCUUGAGUGCGGGAGAGGAGAGCGGAAUUCCCAGUGUAGAGGUGAAAUUCGUAGAUAUUGGGAUGAACACCGGUGGCGAAGGCGGCUUUCUGGACCGACACUGACGCUGAGGCGCGAAAGCGUGGGGAUCAAACAGG